CCUAGUCUUCUUCUGAUGUCUUGACUGCCGUUUCCAUUCUGAUUAAUGACUGAACCAAGGACAUGUGUUUGGUACAACUUAUCAUAACUGAUGGUCCUUGUCAUAGUGGGAAACAUCUCAUCAAAAAUUGGUAUUAUGGAAGGAGGCGGAAGGGUUGAGCUGCCUGUCUGAAGAAAGCAGUGUGCUGGACCUACCAUG